rnacentral:rRNA from 1 species
ACGAACGCUGGCGGCAUGCCUAACACAUGCAAGUCGAACGAGACCUUCGGGUCUAGUGGCGCACGGGUGCGUAACGCGUGGGAACCUGCCCUUAGGUUCGGAAUAACUCCCCGAAAGGGGUGCUAAUACCGGAUAAUGUCUUCGGACCAAAGAUUUAUCGCCUUUGGAUGGGCCCGCGUUGGAUUAGCUAGUUGGUAGGGUAAAAGCCUACCAAGGCGACGAUCCAUAGCUGGUCUGAGAGGAUGAUCAGCCACACUGGGACUGAGACACGGCCCAGACUCCUACGGGAGGCAGCAGUGGGGAAUAUUGGACAAUGGGCGAAAGCCUGAUCCAGCAAUGCCGCGUGAGUGAUGAAGGCCUUUGGGUUGUAAAGCUCUUUUACCCGGGAUGAUAAUGACAGUACCGGGAGAAUAAGCUCCGGCUAACUCCGUG